GUCUUUUCUGGUGGUGUUGCCUCCAGAACCCGGAGUGGGAAACGAGGAAGCGCAAGGCCCCAGUGGUGAGCUCCGUGGUGCGGGUGAACCAGGCGGCUGACGAGGGUCCAGACAGUAACGAGCUAGAGGAGGAGGAGGAGGAUGACGAGGAGGAGGAUGAAGGAUACGGCAUCAAGAGCAUAUCCAGCAGAGUGUCCCUGCCUUCCAAACCAGAACGCAGACCCUCUUUGCCCCCAGCCAAACAAGCCAACAAGAACCUGCUGAUGAGAGCUAUUUCUGAGUCCCAGGUCUCCAUCAACAAGACUCCAGCUGAUGCCUUCACUGUCAAUCUGCCUGAAUGAAGAAUGAAUCUUAACUAUUGGACAUGUGUUGUCCUGUUUUAUUAUCAUGACACCUGGGUCGUAUUCAUUAGGCACCAAAUGGAUCAAAACGGACUGAAAUGUACCACAGAGACAAACGGUUCCCGUGGCUCCCAGGACCCGUUCAGCCAGAGAUGAGAUGAAAGCAGCCAUCCAGCAAGUUCAGGAGAACCUUCGCGGCCUGGGCCCCGAGGGACAGACUUUCAGGACCCCAGGCAGCUAGAUACAGAGGUGGUUCCCAUCAGGAACAGACUGGGACCGUUGGGGGAGGAGGUGGUUCCCAUCAGGAGCAGACUGGGACUGUUGGGAGAGGAGGUGGUUCCCAUCAGAAGCAGACUGGGACCGUUGGGGAAGGAGGUGGUUCCCAUCAGGAGCAGACUGGGACCGUUGGGGGAGGAGGUGGUUCCCAUCAGGAACAGACUGGGACCGUUGGGGGAGGAGGUGGUUCCCAUCAGGAGCAGACUGGGACUGUUGGGAGAGGAGGUGGUUCCCAUCAGGAGCAGACUGGGACCAUUGGGAGAGGAGGUGGUUCCCAUCAGGAGCAGACUGGGACCGUUGUGGGAGGAGGUGGUUCCCAUCAGAAGCAGACUGGGACCGUUGGGGAAGGAGGUGGUUCCCGUCAGGAGCAGACUGGGACCGUUGUGGGAGGAGGUGGUUCCCAUCAGGAGCAGACUGGGACCGUUGUGGGAGGAGGUGGUUCCCAUCAGGAGCAGACUGGGACCGUUGGGAGAGGAGGUGGUUCCCAUCAGGAGCAGACUGGGACCGUUGGGGGAGGAGGUGGUUCCCAUCAGGAACAGACUGGGACCGUUGGGGGAGGAGGUGGUUCCCAUCAGGAGCAGACUGGGACCGUUGGGGGAGGAGGUGGUUCCCAUCAGGAACAGACUGGGACCGUUGGGGGAGGAG
rnacentral:lncRNA from 1 species